rnacentral:rRNA from 1 species
AGAGUUUGAUCAUGGCUCAGAUUGAACGCUGGCGGCAUGCUUUACACAUGCAAGUCGAACGGCAGCACGGGCUUCGGCCUGGUGGCGAGUGGCGAACGGGUGAGUAAUGCAUCGGAACGUACCGUGUAGUGGGGGAUAACGUAGCGAAAGUUACGCUAAUACCGCAUACGCCCCGAGGGGGAAAGUGGGGGACCGCAAGGCCUCACGCUAUAUGAGCGGCCGAUGUCGGAUUAGCUAGUUGGUGGGGUAAAGGCCUACCAAGGCGACGAUCCGUAGCGGGUCUGAGAGGAUGAUCCGCCACACUGGGACUGAGACACGGCCCAGACUCCUACGGGAGGCAGCAGUGGGGAAUUUUGGACAAUGGGCGCAAGCCUGAUCCAGCCAUGCCGCGUGAGUGAAGAAGGCCUUCGGGUUGUAAAGCUCUUUCAGACGGAAAGAAAUCUCUUGGGUUAAUACCCUGGGAGGAUGACGGUACCGUAAGAAGAAGCGCCGGCUAACUACGUGCCAGCAGCCGCGAUAAUACGUAGGGUGCGAGCGUUAAUCGGAAUUACUGGGCGUAAAGCGUGCGCAGGCGGUGAUGUAAGACAGAUGUGAAAUCCCCGGGCUCAACCUGGGAACUGCGUUUGUGACUGCAUCACUCGAGUACGGCAGAGGGAGGUGGAAUUCCGCGUGCAGCAGUGAAAUGCGUAGAUAUGCGGAGGAACACCGAUGGCGAAGGCAGCCUCCUGGGCCAGUACUGACGCUCAUGCACGAAGGCGUGGGGAGCAAACAGGAUUAGAUACCCCGGUAGUCCAA